GAGGGACAGACUGCACUUAACCUGGCACAGUUCCCAUUUCAUGACAAGCCUAGGCUGCAGCAGUGUGUAGCUAAUGUCAGGCGGAUGAUUUGGAAACCAACCCAACACUCUCGUCUCUGUGUACAUCACUUUGAAGAGGACUCUCUUCGAUAUGAUGACAAGGGAAAAGUCUGCCUCACCCCGACUAUUGUGCCCACCGUUUUCCCCUUUCCUGAUCGUCUUCAAAAGCGGUCACAAUGCCCCAGGGAAAGACGAAGGAAUUUGGUAGAUACAGAGUUUGGAAGCAACGCUGCCAUCGCUUCUGAUUCCUUGCCUCUACAAGAGAGCAUCCUGGCUGAUUAUAGUGGAUCUGCAGGCCGCAGACGACACUAGGCGAUAUUCCCACACCUCAGCUGAGCAGAGGAUCCAAUACCGACAAACCAUGCAGCAGAUCCUCAAUGGAGCAGCAGGAGCCUCAUGUUGACGGGAGUGCCCAUCUGCACUCGGCUGGCCAGGUGCCUAAACUUUAACAGGGAAAGACAUCACACAGGGAGAAAGAGAUGGCAGGAGCAGUGGUGCCAUGUAUGUCCCGGGUUUCUCUGGUAUAGGCCGCGUUACUGUAAAAGUACUUUGUGACACCUGCUGAUGUUUUUAUUUUACCUUUAUUUAACCAGGUAGGCUAGUUGAGAACAGGUUCUCAUUUGCAACUGCGGCCUGGCCAAGAUAAAGCAUAGCAGUUCGACACAUACAACAACACAGAGUUACAAAUGGAAUAAACAAAACAGUAGAAAUAAAUAAUACAGUAGAAAAAAUAAAACAAAAAAUCUGUAUUCAGUGAGUGCAAAUGAGGUAAGAUAAGGGAGUUAAGGCAAUAAAUAGGCCAUGGUGGCCAAAUAAUUACAAUAUAGCAAUUAAACACUAGAAUGGUAGAUGUGCAGAAGAUGAAUGUGCAAGUAGAGAUAUUGGGGUGCAAAGGAGCAAGAUAAAUAAAUAAAUACAGUAUGGGGAUGAGAUAGUUGGAUGGGCUGUUUACAGAUGGGCUAUGUACAGGUGCAGUGAUCUGUGAGCUGCUCUGACAGCUGGUGCUUAAAGCUAGUGAGGGAGAUAUGAGUCUCCAGCUUCAGUGAUUUUUGCAGUUCACUCCAGUCAUUGGCAGCAGAGAACUGGAAGGAAAGGCGGCCAAAGGAGGAAUUGGCUUUGGGGGUGACCAGUGAGAUAUACCUGCUGGCGUGCGUGCUACGAGUGGGUGCUGCUAUGGUGUGGGUGGGUGCUGCUAUGUAAAAAAAAAGGCCAUGUAUAAUUUUGCUUGAUUGAUUGAUUGACUGUAUAAGUAAAAGUGAUGUCCUCUUAUCCGUCAGGUAGGAAGUAUCACUUUCUAUUAUCUAUGCAUAGUCACUUCACCCCACGUCCAUGUACAAAUUACCUUGACUAAUCUGUACCCCAGCACAUUGACUAGGUAAUGGUACCCCCUGUAUAUAGCCUCGUUAUUGUUAUUUUAUUGUGUUACUUUUUAGAAUUUUUAACUUUAGUUUAUUUGGUAAAUAUUUUCUUAACUCUGUCUUGAACUGCACUGUUGGUUAAGGGCUUGUAAGUAAGCAUUUCACGAUAAGGUGACAAAUAAAGUUUGACUUGAUUUGAUCAGUGCCAACACUGCCAAGUGGCUGGGAUGUCCUCCACUGAGUCCACCGUCCUCUCCACCCCAAACACCUCCAGCACCUCCAUUCCCGCCAUCUGCUGUCUGCCAUCUGCCAUCUGCACCCCAACUCCCUCUGACCACAGAUUGACCACACAUUAACCACACAACAUGGUCAAUGUACAUACGGUCAAAUCAAACAUAACCUCGUCCCAGGCUUAUAAGCCUGGGAUAUCAACCACUCCAAGUUCGCCUUAUUAGGAGUGACCAUAGAGUUCUAUGAGACCUACUGAGUAAAGUAUUUGCCAUCAUUCAAUGUUGGUGAAUCUCAAUUCUGUGAGGCGUGCCUCUGUGCUUAUGGUGUGCUA
rnacentral:lncRNA from 1 species